CCACGCCCAGGCUGCGGUCGCGCGUGUACAGGACGAUCAGGUGUCGCUGACGCGCGUCCACGCGCUUACUGAUGGUGCACGCGCCCUCCAGGCUCACGCUGAACUUGGGCGGCGCUCGGCCGGCGCGGAACUUCUUCUCGCUCUCGUAACACUCGAGGCGCUGCGGGUAGGCGCGGAGCACAAAGAAGCGGCGGCGCUGGGACUUCUGCUUCCGCAGGUGGCCGCAGAGCCGCACAUCAGCCGGGCAGGCCCAGGGCCGCGGCGGACCCAGGGCCAUGUCGGCCGACUCGAACUCCGGGGUCGUCGUGGGGCCUCCGGGCUUCAUCCCAGACCCAAAGCAGUAAAGUGUCCGGAGCAGGGGCUGGGACGGCAGAGGAGGGGUAGACGUAGCGGCCCCCGGAGAGGGGGGCGGCAUCCUGACAGGCGACCACCCGUCUUGAUGCCCAGCGUCUUUCCCCCCACUCCCGACUUGAAGUUUGGGGCAGGGGGUCCGCACCGUGUGCCCCAGUGGCUGCCCGGUGGCCUGAGACACCCGAGCCUCCGACAGACUCUGAGGCUUGACCCCUGCGCCUCCCGUCGCCUCCUCUCCUGUCCUCUCCCCUCCCUCCCAGCGCGGAUCGAGCCGAAGUCCCCACCCCUGCGAGGUUAACCCUUGCGCGCCCCGGAGCUGGACGCCGGGCGGUGGGAGUGGAGUGUGAGUGGGGAAAUCCAGGAGAGGCGGCCUCCGCCUCACCCCACCCCGUGUCCUGGGACUGGGCUUUUGCAGGGGCGGGGGUGGGGUGGCGUCUCUACUGGUCUGAGCUGCCGGCCGGCCGAGAAAGCGGCGACGUGAGGCGAGUGUGCGUGGAGCCACGUCUGUGGUGACCGCGCUGGUGGCGUCUGCAGUCCUAGAGGUAAUCCCAGGAGCCAGGGCUACGGAGCACUGGCCUAUGCUGAUCUUGGAGGAGAUGGAGGUUCAGUUUCUCUGCGGGGUUGGGGCCAUAGGAGGUGUCUUGGGAGGCAGCCGCCAGUGACCUGCUGAAGGCUGGGGUCAAGCCAGAGGACUGUUGCCUGCAGAGCACUGUCACAGCAUUGGCCAGGGGGACAUGAGCACUUGGUCAGAAGCCUGGUGGCAGUCUGAGGUCCCCAAUUUCCUCUUGGCCUUAGAUCCCCUCCCUGGGUCUCUACACGCAAGACUCACCUCCAAAGGAGAGCCCUGUGCUUCCACCUCCACCAGUGGUGGCCGACUGGAGCGUGGGGACCUGGCUGGCCAUCCCGAACAUGCUGUGAUAUGGGGAGAAAAGUCGGCGUGCACAUCAUCUAGCACCAAGGAGGUGAGCUGGGCAAGGAACUAGGAGAUGGCAAACUCUGUCCUGCCGGACGGGAGGAGCCGAGGGGGCUGGUAUAAGCAAGGCCAGGCUUUCCUGGCCGGCUCUCCUGCCCGAUGGCAAGCUCCCCAACAUCUGGACCUACCUGCUAGGGAUGCCUCCAGCUGAUGCCCCGGGUCCCAGGAGGCUGCCCGUAUCUGCAAGGCUGUCGGGCUGACUGGCAGGUGCCAGAGGAGAGGCACCAAAUGGAGUCCCCUGGCUGCUCCCUGGGCAGGCACAGGAAGUAA